rnacentral:rRNA from 1 species
AUGCAUGAAACGGUUUACAUCGUGCAAGGCUCGUGUUGCACGGCCGCCUACAGAACGGCCACCAUGCAUGCAUUGGCAGAGUGUGCACAUUCAGGGGAUACGCAGAGAAGCAUGCUGAAACUGUGGAGAAAACAUCAUGUUGAAGGGAGACACCAAUAUGGUAACCAUCUUUCAUCUUCUUUGAUCUCGGGUCACCAGUUUGGCGAAUUCGUUGGAAGCAAGAUUUUUUUGCUGGAUGCUUUGCAUGGGAUCAUGCCGCUGAAAUCUAUCCUUGCAAAUAGACACACAUCGGUACUGAAGGUCACUGCCCAAUCUGUAACUUGGGCGUUGAGGAUGUUAAACACUUGCUUUUUGAGUGUACGCCUGCAGUGGAAUUAUGGAAAUUGCAUGUUCAUACCAUCAUCUUUGAUGUGA